rnacentral:misc_RNA from 1 species
GAUGAAGAACGUAGCGAAAUGCGAUAAGUAGUGUGAAUUGCAGAAUUCAGUGAAUCAUCGAAUCUUUGAACGCACAUUGCGCCCAUUGGCAUUCCGAUGGGCAUGCCUGUUCGAGCGUCAUUAUCCUCCCUCAAACCCCUGGGUUUGGUGUUGGACUGUGUGGUGCCUGGCACCACUGGUCUCAAAGACAAUGACGGCGUCCGUGGGACCCUCGGUGCAACGAGCUUUUCGAAGCACGCGUCGAGUGGACAGUCUCUCCGGGCCGGUCACCUCUCCAAUUUUUCUCAGGUUGACCUCGGAUCAGGUAGGAAUACCCGCUGAACUUAAGCAUAUCAAUAAGCGGAGGA